rnacentral:misc_RNA from 1 species
UAAUCUCACUACGAUCGACUUUCACGUCUUUCCGUAUGUGGAUUUGGAUGCUGCCGUGGAUCCCACGGCUCGUCUGAAAUGCCUGAGUGUACCCUGCUUUGCGGCGUAUUCGGUGUGAUAAAUCUUCACCGGAGUUGAUCCCUUUUGGGGUCGCGUCUCACGAGUGUGGCUCUAUGCUUCCAACCGUCUGUUUUCGGACAAUCUCUGACA